rfam:Picea glauca, whole genome shotgun sequence.
GUAAUGGUGUCUUUAGACACCACCUCUUUUGUCUUCAAAAUUUUAU